UUUUGUCUGGGUAAGUCCGUUAACGAACGAGACCUCAGCCUAUUAAAUAGUUUUACGUUAUGGAAACAUAAUAGUAAACUUCUUAAAGGGACAUGUUGGGUUUACCAGCGGGAAGUUUGAGGCAAUAACAGGUCUGUGAUGCCCUUAGAUGUUCUGGGCCGCACGCGCGCUACACUGACGAAUUCAACGCGCUUUUACUAUAUUUGUAGUAAAUUCCUUUAUCGGAAGAUAUGGGUAAUCUUUUAAAAGGUCGUCGUGAUGGGGCUAGAUUCUUGCAAUUAUUAAUCUCCAACGAGGAACC
rnacentral:rRNA from 1 species